rnacentral:rRNA from 1 species
UGGUCAAGUUAUUAAGGGUGCAGGGCGGAUGCCUUGGCACUAGGAGCCGAUGAAGGACGUGAUAAGCUGCGAUAAGCUUCGGGGAGUUGCACGUAAACUUUGAUCCGAAGAUUUCCGAAUGAGGAAACUCACUUAGAGUAAUGUCUAAGUAUCAUUAAGUGAAUACAUAGCUUAAUGAGGGGAACUCAGGGAACUGAAACAUCUAAGUACCUGAAGGAAGAGAAAGAAAUUCGAUUCCGUAAGUAGCGGCGAGCGAACGCGGAUUAGCCCAAACCAAUAAAGUUUUCUUUAUUGGGGUUGCGGACAUAUCAUAACGAAGAGGUAUCGUAAUUGAAGAGGUUUGGAAAGACCCACCACAGAAGGUAAUAGUCCUGUAUGUUAAACGAGAAGACUUCAGAUAUGAUCCAGAGUACCACGGGACACGUGAAACCCUGUGGGAAGCAGGAGGGACCACCCUCCAAGGCUAAAUACUACCUAGUGACCGAUAGCGUAUAGUACCGUGAGGGAAAGGUGAAAAGAACCCCGGGAGGGGAGUGAAAUAGAACCUGAAACCCUGCACUUACAAGCUGUGGAAGCACAUUUCUUGUGUGACCGCGUACUUUUUGUAGAACGGGCCAACGAGUUACGUUAAGUAGCAAGGUUAAGCACUUAAGGUGCGGAGCCGUAGCGAAAGCGAGUUUUAACUGAGCGUUCAGUUACUUGACGUAGACCCGAAACCGGGCGACCUACCCAUGAGCAGGAUGAAGCGAAAGUAAAAUUUCGUGGAGGUCCGAACCCACGAGCGUUGAAAAGCUCGGGGAUGACUUGUGGGUAGCGGUGAAAUUCCAAUCGAGCCCGGAGAUAGCUGGUUCUCCCCGAAAUAGCUUUAGGGCUAGCCUCAAGGUGAGAGAUACGGAGGUAGAGCACUGAAUGUCCUAGGGGGUAUUGCACCUACCGAAGACUAUCAAACUCCGAAUGCCGUCAUCUUAUACUUGGGAGUCAGACUGUGGGUGAUAAGAUUCAUAGUCGAAAGGGCAACAGCCCAGAUCGUCAGCUAAGGUCCCUAAAUGUAAGUUAAGUGGUAAAGGAUGUGGGAUUGCACAGACAACCAGGAUGUUGGCUUAGAAGCAGCCACUCAUUCAAAGAGUGCGUAAUAGCUCACUGGUCGAGUGAUCCUGCGCCGAAGAUUUCCGGGGCUAAAACUUACUACCGAAGCUACGGCAUCAGUAAUGAUGGGUAGGGGAGCUUCCCAUACGGGUUGAAGCAUGACCGUAAGGACAUGUGGACAGUAUGGGAGUGAGAAUGUUGGCAUGAGUAGCGAGAUGUGGGUGAGAAUCCCACAGGCCGUAAACCCAAGGUUUCCAGGGGAAGGUUCGUCCGCCCUGGGUUAGUCGGGACCUAAGCUGAGGCCGAAAGGCGUAGGUGAUGGACAACAGGUUGAUAUUCCUGUACUACCGAUAACCGUUUGAGAGAAGGGAUGACACAGUAGGAUAAGCUAAGCACACUGUUGGUUAUGUGUGCCCAAGCAUUGAGGCAGUCAAAGUAGGCAAAUCCGCUUUGAUAAUGCUGGGAUGUGAUGGGGAGCGAAAUUUAGUAGCGAAGUAGCUGAUUUCACACUGUCAAGAAAAGUCUCUAUCGAGGUUAAAGGUACCCGUACCGCAAACCGACACAGGUGGGUGAGGAGAGUAUCCUAAGGCCAGCGAGAGAACUGUUGUUAAGGAACUCGGCAAAAUGACCCCGUAACUUAGGGAUAAGGGGUGCCACCAUCAGGUGGCCGCAGAGAAUAGGCCCAAGCGACUGUUUACCAAAAACAUAGGUUUCUGCUAAGUCGCAAGACGAUGUAUAGGAGCUGACGCCUGCCCGGUGCUGGAAGGUUAAGGGGAUCUGUUAGAGCAAUCGAAGCAGUGAACUUAAGCCCCAGUAAACGGCGGCCGUAACUAUAACGGUCCUAAGGUAGCGAAAUUCCUUGUCGGGUAAGUUCCGACCCGCACGAAAGGCGUAACGAUUUGGGCACUGUCUCAACAACAGACUCGGUGAAAUUGUAAUUCCGGUGAAGAUGCCGGAUACCUGCGACAGGACGGAAAGACCCCAUGGAGCUUUACUGUAGCUUGACAUUGGGUCUUGGUACUACAUGUACAGGAUAGGUGGGAGGCUUUGAAACCAGGACGCCAGUUUUGGCGGAGCCAUCCUUGGGAUACCACCCUUGUAGUACUGGGACUCUAACCAUAGGCCAUGAAUCUGGUCUUGGGACACUGUCAGGUGGGCAGUUUGACUGGGGCGGUCGCCUCCCAAAAGGUAACGGAGGCGCUCAAAGGUUCUCUCAGUACGGUCGGAAAUCGUACGUAGAGUGUAAAGGCAAAAGAGAGCUUGAUUGCAAGACAUACAGGUCGAGCAAGGAUGAAAAUCGGACUUAGUGAUCCGGUGGUUCUGCGUGGAAGGGCCAUCGCUCAACGGAUAAAAGCUACCCUGGGGAUAACAGGCUUAUCUCCCCCAAGAGUCCACAUCGACGGGGAGGUUUGGCACCUCGAUGUCGGCUCAUCACAUCCUGGGGCUGUAGUAGGUCCCAAGGGUUGGGCUGUUCGCCCAUUAAAGUGGUACGCGAGCUGGGUUCAGAACGUCGUGAGACAGUUCGGUCCCUAUCCGUCGCAGGCGUAGGAAAUUUGAGAAGACCUGUCCUUAGUACGAGAGGACCGGGAUGGACGUACCUCUGGUGUACCAGUUGUCCUGCCAAGGGCAUGGCUGGGUAGCUAUGUACGGAAUGGAUAAGCGCUGAAAGCAUCUAAGCGCGAAGCCAACUUCAAGAUAAGAUUUCCCACCGCAAGGGUAAGACCCCAGAAAGACUAUCUGGUUGAUAGGUCGAAGGUGUAAGUGCAGUAAUGUAUUUAGCUUAUCGAUACUAAUAGGUCGAGGACUUGACCAAU